rnacentral:rRNA from 1 species
AGUGAACGCUGGCGGUAGGCCUAACACAUGCAAGUCGAACGGCGGCACAGUAAGAGCUUGCUCUUGCGGGUGGCGAGUGGCGGACGGGUGAGGAAUACAUCGGAAUCUACUUUUUCGUGGGGGAUAACGUAGGGAAACUUACGCUAAUACCGCAUACGACCUACGGGUGAAAGCAGGGGAUCUUCGGACCUUGCGCGAUUGAAUGAGCCGAUGUCGGAUUAGCUAGUUGGCGGGGUAAAGGCCCACCAAGGCGACGAUCCGUAGCUGGUCUGAGAGGAUGAUCAGCCACACUGGAACUGAGACACGGUCCAGACUCCUACGGGAGGCAGCAGUGGGGAAUAUUGGACAAUGGGCGCAAGCCUGAUCCAGCCAUACCGCGUGGGUGAAGAAGGCCUUCGGGUUGUAAAGCCCUUUUGUUGGGAAAGAAAAGCAGCAGGUUAAUACCCCGCUGUUCUGACGGUACCCAAAGAAUAAGCACCGGCUAACUUCGUG